rnacentral:rRNA from 1 species
UACGGGGGGGGCAAGCGUUGUUCGGAAUUACUGGGCGUAAAGGGCUCGUAGGUGGCCAACUAAGUCAGACGUGAAAUCCCUCGGCUUAACCGGGGAACUGCGUCUGAUACUGGAUGGCUUGAGUUUGGGAGAGGGAUGCGGAAUUCCAGGUGUAGCGGUGAAAUGCGUAGAUAUCAGGAGGAACACCGGUGGCGAAGGCGGGAUCCUGGGCCAGUACUGACGCUGAGGAGCGAAAGCGUGGGGAGCAAACAGG